rnacentral:rRNA from 2 species
UUGGGAAUCUUGGACAAUGGGGGAAACCCUGAUCCAGCCAUGCCGCGUGAGUGAUGAAGGCCUUCGGGUUGUAAAACUCUUUCGACGGGGACGAUAAUGACGGUACCCGUAGAAGAAGCUCCGGCUAACUUCGUGCCAGCAGCCGCGGUAAUACGAAGGGGGCUAGCGUUGUUCGGAAUUACUGGGCGUAAAGCGCGCGCAGGCGGUUCUCCAAGUCAGUGGUGAAAGCCCGGAGCUCAACUCCGGAACUGCCAUUGAAACUGUUGAACUUGAGGACGAGAGAGGUGAGUGGAAUUCCCAGUGUAGAGGUGAAAUUCGUAGAUAUUGGGAAGAACACCAGUGGCGAAGGCGGCUCACUGGCUCGUAUCUGACGCUCAGGCGCGAUAGCGUGGGGAUCAAACAGG